GAUGAACGCUGGCGGCGUGCCUAAUACAUGCAAGUCGAGCGAACAGAUGAGGAGCUUGCUCCUCUGCCGUUAGCGGCGGACGGGUGAGUAACACGUGGAUAACCUACCUAUAAGACUGGGAUAACUUCGGGAAACCGGAGCUAAUACCGGAUAAUAUAUUGAACCGCAUGGUUCAAUAGUGAAAGACGGUUUUGCUGUCACUUAUAGAUGUAUCCGCGCCGCAUUAGCUAGUUGGUAAGGUAACGGCUUACCAAGGCAACGAUGCGUAGCCGACCUGAGAGGGUGAUCGGCCACACUGGAAAUGGGACACGGUCCAGACUCCUACGGGAGGCAGCAGUAGGGAAUCUUCCGCAAUGGGCGAAAGCCUGACGGAGCAACGCCGCGUGAGUGAUGAAGGGCUUCGGAUAGUAAAACUCUGUUAUUAGGGAAGAACAAAUGUGUAAGUAACUAUGCACGUCUUGACGGUACCAAAUCAGAAAGCCACGGCUAACUACGUG
rnacentral:rRNA from 1 species